CGGACGGGUGGGUAAUGUAUGGGGAUCUGCCUGAUGGCGGGGGAUAACUACUGGAAACGGUAGCUAAUACCGCAUAAUGUCUGCGGACCAAAGCGGGGGACCUCCGGGCCUCGCGCCAUCAGAUGAACCCAUAUGGGAUUAGCUUGUAGGUAAGGUAACGGCUUACCUAGGCGACGAUCCCUAGCUGGUCUGAGAGGAUGAUCAGCCACACUGGGACUGAGACACGGCCCAG
rnacentral:rRNA from 1 species